rnacentral:rRNA from 1 species
CAUACGGGUUGAAGCAUGACCGUAAGGACAUGUGGACAGUAUGGGAGUGAGAAUGUUGGCAUGAGUAGCGAGAUGUGGGUGAGAAUCCCACAGGCCGUAAACCCAAGGUUUCCAGGGGAAGGUUCGUCCGCCCUGGGUUAGUCGGGACCUAAGCUGAGGCCGAAAGGCGUAGGUGAUGGACAACAGGUUGAUAUUCCUGUACUACCGAUAACCGUUUGAGAGAAGGGAUGACACAGUAGGAUAAGCUAAGCACACUGUUGGUUAUGUGUGCCCAAGCAUUGAGGCAGUCAAAGCAGGCAAAUCCGCUUUGAUAAUGCUGGGAUGUGAUGGGGAGCGAAAUUUAGUAGCGAAGUAGCUGAUUUCACACUGUCAAGAAAAGUCUCUAUCGAGGUUAAAGGUACCCGUACCGCAAACCGACACAGGUGGGUGAGGAGAGUAUCCUAAGGCCAGCGAGAGAACUGUUGUUAAGGAACUCGGCAAAAUGACCCCGUAACUUAGGGAUAAGGGGUGCCACCAUCCGGUGGCCGCAGAGAAUAGGCCCAAGCGACUGUUUACCAAAAACAUAGGUUUCUGCUAAGUCGCAAGACGAUGUAUAGGAGCUGACGCCUGCCCGGUGCUGGAAGGUUAAGGGGAUCUGUUAGAGCAAUCGAAGCAGUGAACUUAAGCCCCAGUAAACGGCGGCCGUAACUAUAACGGUCCUAAGGUAGCGAAAUUCCUUGUCGGGUAAGUUCCGACCCGCACGAAAGGCGUAACGAUUUGGGCACUGUCUCAACAACAGACUCGGUGAAAUUGUAAUUCCGGUGAAGAUGCCGGAUACCUGCGACAGGACGGAAAGACCCCAUGGAGCUUUACUGUAGCUUGACAUUGGGUCUUGGUACUACAUGUACAGGAUAGGUGGGAGGCUUUGAAACCAGGACGCCAGUUUUGGCGGAGCCAUCCUUGGGAUACCACCCUUGUAGUACUGGGACUCUAACCAUAGGCCAUGAAUCUGGUCUUGGGACACUGUCAGGUGGGCAGUUUGACUGGGGCGGUCGCCUCCCAAAAGGUAACGGAGGCGCUCAAAGGUUCUCUCAGUACGGUCGGAAAUCGUACGUAGAGUGUAAAGGCAAAAGAGAGCUUGAUUGCAAGACAUACAGGUCGAGCAAGGAUGAAAAUCGGACUUAGUGAUCCGGUGGUUCUGCGUGGAAGGGCCAUCGCUCAACGGAUAAAAGCUACCCUGGGGAUAACAGGCUUAUCUCCCCCAAGAGUCCACAUCGACGGGGAGGUUUGGCACCUCGAUGUCGGCUCAUCACAUCCUGGGGCUGUAGUAGGUCCCAAGGGUUGGGCUGUUCGCCCAUUAAAGUGGUACGCGAGCUGGGUUCAGAACGUCGUGAGACAGUUCGGUCCCUAUCCGUCGCAGGCGUAGGAAAUUUGAGAAGACCUGUCCUUAGUACGAGAGGACCGGGAUGGACGUACCUCUGGUGUACCAGUUGUUCUGCCAAGGGCAUGGCUGGGUAGCUAUGUACGGAAUGGAUAAGCGCUGAAAGCAUCUAAGCGCGAAGCCAACUUCAAGAUAAGAUUUCCCACCGCAAGGGUAAGACCCCAGAAAGACUAUCUGGUUGAUAGGUCGAAGGUGUAAGUGCAGCAAUGUAUUUAGCUUAUCGAUACUAAUAG